UAUUGCACAAUGGGGGAAACCCUGAUGCAGCGACGCCGCGUGAGUGAAGAAGUAUUUCGGUAUGCAAAGCUCUAUCAGCAGGGAAGAAAAUGACGGUACCUGAUUAAGAAGCCCCGGCUCACUACGAGCCAGCAGCCGCGGUAAAACGUAGGGGGCAAGCGUUAUCCGUGUUUACUGGGUGUAAAGGGAGCGUAGACGGCAGCACAAGUCUGGAGUGAAAUGCCGGGGCUUAACCCCGGAACUGCUUUGGAAACUGUGCAGCUAGAGUGCAGGAGAGGUAAGUGGAAUUCCUAGUGUAGCGGUGAAAUGCGUAGAUAUUAGGAGGAACACCAGUGACGAAGGCGGCUUACUGGACUGUAACUGACGUUGAGGCUCGAAAGCGUGGGGAGCAAACAGG
rnacentral:rRNA from 1 species